rnacentral:rRNA from 1 species
AGUGAACGCUGGCGGUAGGCCUAACACAUGCAAGUCGAACGGCAGCACAGUAAGAGCUUGCUCUUACGGGUGGCGAGUGGCGGACGGGUGAGGAAUACAUCGGAAUCUACUUUUUCGUGGGGGAUAACGUAGGGAAACUUACGCUAAUACCGCAUACGACCUACGGGUGAAAGCAGGGGAUCUUCGGGCCUUGCGCGAUUGAAUGAGCCGAUGUCGGAUUAGCUAGUUGGCGGGGUAAAGGCCCACCAAGGCGACGAUCCGUAGCUGGUCUGAGAGGAUGAUCAGCCACACUGGAACUGAGACACGGUCCAGACUCCUACGGGAGGCAGCAGUGGGGAAUAUUGGACAAUGGGCGCAAGCCUGAUCCAGCCAUACCGCGUGGGUGAAGAAGGCCUUCGGGUUGUAAAGCCCUUUUGUUGGGAAAGAAAAGCAGCAGAUUAAUACCCCGCUGUUCUGACGGUACCCAAAGAAUAAGCACCGGCUAACUUCGUG